rnacentral:rRNA from 1 species
GAUGAACGCUGGCGGCGUGCCUAAUACAUGCAAGUCGAGCGAACGGACGAGAAGCUUGCUUCUCUGAUGUUAGCGGCGGACGGGUGAGUAACACGUGGAUAACCUACCUAUAAGACUGGGAUAACUUCGGGAAACCGGAGCUAAUACCGGAUAAUAUUUUGAACCGCAUGGUUCAAAAGUGAAAGACGGUCUUGCUGUCACUUAUAGAUGGAUCCGCGCUGCAUUAGCUAGUUGGUAAGGUAACGGCUUACCAAGGCAACGAUGCAUAGCCGACCUGAGAGGGUGAUCGGCCACACUGGAACUGAGACACGGUCCAGACUCCUACGGGAGGCAGCAGUAGGGAAUCUUCCGCAAUGGGCGAAAGCCUGACGGAGCAACGCCGCGUGAGUGAUGAAGGUCUUCGGAUCGUAAAACUCUGUUAGUAGGGAAGAACAUAUGUGUAAGUAACUGUGCACAUCUUGACGUUACCUAAUCAGAAAGCCACGGCUAACUACGUG